rnacentral:misc_RNA from 1 species
GACAAAUUGCACCCUGUAAUAUUGGAGAACAUCUCUGUUAGGAAGAUUAUCAAGGCUGAAAGAAAAAUGCUUCAGGAAAGGAAAUUGCAUAUGGAGGAUCAUCGUAGAGUUUUACAGGGUAAGGUUGCAGAAUUGACAGCUAACAUGAAGAAACUGAAAAUGGAUUAUCAGAUGAAGGCUAAUAAGGCUCAAGCUGAAGGAGCUAUCGUGUUGGAAUUAAAGAAAAACUUUGAAGAAUUCCGUCUUAAAUAUGAUCGUUUGUUUGAUUACAAUCAAAC